rnacentral:rRNA from 1 species
AGUCCCGUAACGAGCGCAACCCUUGUCCUUAGUUACCAGCACCUCGGGUGGGCACUCUAAGGAGACUGCCGGUGACAAACCGGAGGAAGGUGGGGAUGACGUCAAGUCAUCAUGGCCCUUACGGCCAGGGCUACACACGUGCUACAAUGGUCGGUACAAAGGGUUGCCAAGCCGCGAGGUGGAGCUAAUCCCAUAAAACCGAUCGUAGUCCGGAUCGCAGUCUGCAACUCGACUGCGUGAAGUCGGAAUCGCUAGUAAUCGUGAAUCAGAAUGUCACGGUGAAUACGUUCCCGGGCCUUGUACACACCGCCCGUCACACCAUGGGA